rnacentral:rRNA from 1 species
CACGUAGGGUGCAAGCGUUGUCCGGAUUUAUUGGGCGUAAAGAGCUCGUAGGCGGCUCAGUAAGUCGGGUGUGAAACCUCCAGGCUCAACCUGGAGACGCCACUCGAUACUGCUGUGGCUUGAGUCCGGUAGGGGAGCGUGGAAUUCCUGGUGUAGCGGUGAAAUGCGCAGAUAUCAGGAGGAACACCAGCGGCGAAGGCGGCGCUCUGGGCCGGAACUGACGCUGAGGAGCGAAAGCGUGGGUAGCAAACAGG